CUCUUACACUACAGCAUAUAUUAUCUUUCAGAACCAUGAUAUUGAUGUUUGAGUGUGUAUUUGUGUUGUUGGGUGUGCAAGGGCUCCAGGGCCAGGACGUUGCAGACACUGCUUUAACCAGGCUGUGCCGAAACAAAUGCCGUACGGAGCUGUGCUACCUCGCAGACGA